UACGUAGGGUGCAAGCGUUAAUCGGAAUUACUGGGCGUAAAGCGUGCGCAGGCGGCUUUGCAAGACAGAUGUGAAAUCCCCGGGCUUAACCUGGGAACUGCAUUUGUGACUGCAAGGCUAGAGUACGGCAGAGGGGGAUGGAAUUCCGCGUGUAGCAGUGAAAUGCGUAGAUAUGCGGAGGAACACCGAUGGCGAAGGCAAUCCCCUGGACCUGUACUGACGCUCAUGCACGAAAGCGUGGGGAGCAAACAGG
rnacentral:rRNA from 1 species